AUCCUGAAUGUUUCAGCGAGAAAGUGCUUUUAUUUGACACGCGUUAAUUUCAUAUACCACCCAUAUGUUUUGUUCGUCUAAUCAUGACCUAGAAACCGAAAUUGGUAAAUAUGCUUCAGACACGCAAUCAGGGCAACCACCGAUGACGCAGGUCCAAGGUACCGAGUCCAAAAUAGCAUCCAAGAUGGUGGGUUUAAAAUGGCAUCCAGAUGGUGGGCCAACUACCAAAAUAUGACCCUGGCCCUCGAGCCAACUGCCGAAAUAUAGCACCCCGGACAAACUGCCAAAAUUCAACCUUGCACCCAGGACCAACUGCAAAAUUUUACCUUGUAUCCCAGGCCAACUGCCAAAAUGUGACCUUGUACCCAGGGCUAACUACUGAGAUAUAACACUCCUGGUCAACUGCCGAAAUACAUACCCCGGACCAAAUGCCAAAAUGUUUUCCCACGGUCUCCAGAAUUAGACCAGGCCCAAGGGCCCUAAUACCUACUCUCAUUGAAACCUUUGAGUCUCAGAAACUUUAAAACUUCUUACAUUAUUAGUAAUCUAUCUAGGAAAUUCAAUAGAAACAUUUUUACACUUUUAGGAACCUAGGGCGUCCCUGUCCAGAGAAGGUAUUACUUUUUUAUGUUCGCAGGAAAAUGGAUCAUAUACAAUGUAUCUUCCAUUUAAGUCAUACUUGUAACUGUAUAAUGUUGUGCAAACAACGUUAGGUAAACGUUAUUUCGGUCUAAACACCAAAAAUAAAGACGGGACAUCCUGUAUAUGGGAUUGUUUCAUAUUAUUAAGUAGAUCUGAGGUUCAUUUCAUUUGAAUUUGUGUCUCAUUGUAGAUCGUUUUGUAAAUGCGCAAAUCUUGUUUAAAUUUUAUCGGUUUUGUAAUUAUUUAAUUUAGAUAAGACCUUAGAUUAAUAAUAAUAAUUAAUAACAAUUAAUGGUCUAAUUUGCGUGAUUUAUAAAAGGUUUUAUCUGGGAGCGUUUAUCAAGCAAAAGUGGAAGCGAGUACCUCUGGUAUGAUCGUCGUGAUUGGCGAUUUAUUGGAAGUGACAAGAAGAAGGAGAUUAUGUUAUGGUGGAAGGGGUAUUUCUUUAAUAACUGGAGAGUACGAGAAAACGAGGCCGUUGAGUUUCGCGACGGUGUAAAUUUGUUUAUACAAAAUCUCUGGCAGUCAGUCCUAUUUGUUUACUUGAAAAGGCAGUCAUCUUUUGGCGCAUUUUUAAGAAAUAAACACAUUUUUUAAGAAAUAAAAAAGUGCUAUUG